rnacentral:lncRNA from 1 species
GAAGAAGAAAGAAGACUGGCAACAGUUGUUAGCUCAGGUGCCAAUCUUAAAAAAAAAAAAGCCCAAGAGAGAACUAUUGAUCACAAACCCUCCUCAGGGAGCUCUCCCUGACUUCUCGUAGAGGACAUCAGUCACCCCUGCCUUGGUGGUCCACUCAGAGGACCCUUCCAUAUUCCACUCUUCUCCUUGAUGAUACAGACCAAACUAUGUCACAGCCAGCACCACACAUUCUGUUGGUGCUCAAUAGAUGUUCCACAAGCACAUAAGUGAACAAACUCGUGUGCCUUGCACCAAGCAGGAGCCCUCUGAGGAAGAUAGUAUUUUUUCCCUUUUGUUGAUGAGGAAGUCCACGCUGUCCUUCAGCUCUGGGAGAAUUUAAAACCAAAGUCUUAGUAUCCCCGGGCUCUGAGCAGUCUGUUUUUCUCUUUCUCAAACAAAUAAGCUUAAUACGUUUAUAGGUUUGAUUUAUUUUUAUUAGCUUCCAUGCUGGUCAACAUAAAAUAAUUAUAAAUUCAAGAUUACAGUGAAAAUCACUACCAUUUUAAUUUUAAAAAAGUGUAGGAGGUUGUAGGCUGUAUACAGUCUUCCACGUUUUCUCCUGAGAACAUUAAAAAAAAAAUCCUGUCAUGCAGUAGAAAAGGUUUUAAUAGAAAGGGGAAGGAAAAAGGAGAAGACAGUGGGAGCGGGGAGAGUGCGGGCAGGAAUCUGCGAGCUGAAGAGAACCCCCCCAUGAGAAACUGGAAUUCCCAUCAGCUCCGAGAGCAGAAGCAGGGGCGCCAGGUGGGGCCCCUCCAGGCUCUGGGCGGCCUCUCCUCCAGAGGGCGCAGCAGAGACCCCCAUGGCUGGUCGCCGCGGCGCGCCCCCGCCCCCGGAGGUGGACUUCUGGCCUUCCAUGCAGCUACCAGGUUUGGUUCAGGCACACGGAGGGUACUGCCUCUCUGGGCGUCUGUCACCCUUUAAGAGAGCCACUGCCUGGUCCAGAAAAGCGUGUGCUCUUCAGUCACAGCCCACCCCAGGUCUUCCUGACUCCACUGUCCACCUGGCUGUGUGGAUGAGUAAUGGGUCAGCUGGGCCGGCACCUCCCCCUCCGCACCCCGCGGCCUUACAGGUCCCCCCUCCCCGCUUUCCCCCCUCCCCCUCCCCCUCCCUCCCCCCACACAGUCUGGAGGUUGCCACACUGGGAGAAGGGUAAGGCAGGGCACAAUUUGUCUCUGUGUAAUUAUCUGUCAGGUACAGCUUGUGAAAUCUCAGCCAUCUGCCCCCCACCACGCAAGAAAAUAAAUUACACACAUGCACACGGAGACACGGAUAGCACGAUGAUCCUGCCCUCCGCCGCCAGCGGGCUCAGCUCCGGGAGAAAGCUCUGCCACGGCGAGCCCGAGCCGAGGACUGCUGAUUCCUGCACUGCACCAGCCCCCGUCCUCCUCUCUCCCAGGCCCCUAACACUUAAGCUUGCAUCUUUUCAGCCUGAGUUCCUCGCUGGGAAGGAGGGGGAGGUCCAUGUGGCCUCAGAAAUCAAGGGUGUUGAGAAAGAAAACAAACAAAAUUCUUGGCCAUUUCUGAUGAGAUGAGUUGGAGGAGGGGGAGAGGCCUUAGAGUUGCCUGUAAUUUCUAAAAUGCACUGUAAUGUGGCUGCAGAUGCAAUGGACUGAGUCCUUUCUCUGUAAUAGUGAUGGCGACCCCUUUUUAGGAUACAGCCAGUGGGUCCGGGCACUGUGCUAAGCUCCUUACACAUGGCUUUUCAUUGAUCUCCACAAUGAAACCCUGUGGAACUGGUGUUUUUAUCCUCACUGAGAAGAUGAAGAUUUGGAGUUUCAGAGAAGUCAAGUGAUUUGCCCACAGUCACACAGCUGGUUGGACCGGACUCAAGGCCCACCUCUUCAUGAGGAAGGAAUGGAGGGAAUGUGAGGUCUAGCUCGUGGCUGCAGAGGAGCAGGGAGUAGGCUGUUACUUCUUGUGUGAACUUUUGUUUUUCUUCUUUACAAUGUGCGUCAUAUGUUCAUCUUCUCUGAAGCCUCGCGAGAAUUAAAUGAGCUAGCAGGUCUUGGCACUUGUAAGGGCUCAAGAAAUGAGGAGCUUCACCCUUCAGCCUCUCUUCAGUGUCCCUCUGCACACAGGGAGCUCUGUGCUGGGAGACUGGCUGGACACAGAUGCCCUUGAGGACUCAGAGGAGCAUUUUGGGUCAGGAGUCCCAACCCUCGCUGUGCUCAGGACCCCCUGGCAGUCUGGUGAAGCCUAUAGACUCCUCAUAAUGUUCCGAAACGCAUGCACAAUUACCAAGAAGUUCCAAGGAAGCCAGUUUUACUGUCACACAGUUAUAGAAAGAAUCAAAAAACCAAAUUUGUGACAUAGUAAUCUCCCACCUCCUCUAACAGCGCCUUCAAUAACCAGAUCGAACAGCACAUCUCAUCACUACCAGAAUUUCAAAGUUGUGCUGAGUGUAAAUGAUAUUUCCAGAGACCUGCAGCAGUGGAGAGAAUAUGAGAGCAUCUUGAUUUCUAGCAGCGACAGCAGCACAGGUGUGGCCCAUUCUGCUGUAGUAGAGAAAUACUGAAUUCACUUACAGGUUAGUGAGAAGGUAUCCCCUCCAUCCAGGUUCCCAGACCCUCAAAAAUCUCUCCGUGGAUCCCACCUUAGGAGUAGAAGCAAUUGGCUGAAACACAUGUUAAUGUGAAUUAAAAAGUGCAAUUUAGGGGUAGACAAUGGGGGAGAUCAAAGAAAGCCUUCCUUCUGACAGAGAGGGCUUGACAGUAUGCGGGCCUUGCUUUGCUUGGGUCUACCUGGGAGGGCUUUCUGGAAUAUACAAGGUGUUUUUAUGAAUGAGGCAACCAAGGACCAGAGCAGUUGAGUGACAGGCCUGAGAGCCCUAAGGAGGAAGCAGCGAAAGCCGGGCUCAAACUCUUCAGUGCCCCUGACUCUGAUCCCAGGUGGUCUCCACCUCCCUGUGUCCCCAUUUCCCUCUGCCCUCCUCUCUGAAGGUGAACACAGGCCCCCUUUGUUGAGCUCUGCUCUUCCCGCCCCUCCGCACUGCACUGUGCUCUGGAUCUCACGUGGCUCCCACGUGGCUCCGUGGUUCACUGCUGCACAGCUGUGAGGAAACUUUGCUUGUUAGGGUUUGGGCUGGGUGGCAGGAGGGAGCUGGGCUCAGUGGAGUGGGGGCAGCUCCUUCAAGCUGAAGACAAAGGCUGGUUCACUAUUCAGGUGGGAUGAGAAAAAGCCACUGGCAUUUACUGGGGGUGAGGAAGUAGGGACCAGAAGCCCCUGGGCUCCCUAUUAGCGGGAUGGAUAAACCAGGCCAGGUAAAGCCUUUGGCGAUGGAGCUACCCACAGCAUGUCCCUGGGAUGUGAGGGGGAGGGGCUCCUGUACCACCAGUCUUCUGGGUGGAAAGAUUUUGAGCCUUGGACUCAGAGGAUCUGGCUGUACCCCUGACUCGCUUUGGGACCUUGAGCAAGUCACUUUACUUCUUAACCCUGUUUUCUCAACUGUGAAAGAGGACUGAUGAGAGCUUCUUCCUUUCUGCUCUCCGGGGGAGUCAGGGGGUGAAGUGGGCAAAACCUCUUUGUAAGAUCUACAGCGUCACAUGGGUGUUAACUAUUAUUAAGGGGAAAGUGCGCUUCUCCCAGGUCACGUGUGUAUUCUAGAGCCAUCUUGUUUGGACUGAGCUCUAAUUAAAUCAAGGAGACCCAGAAACUCCAAGGAACUUGAUCUUGCUUGACUGCUGCUCCCUUUUGACCCGAGCCAGGCAUUCGUACGUUCUAUGUACACUAAGAAAAGAUCUACCUAUAUAUGUAAAAGGAUUUACCCAUUUGGCUUUCCCUAUGUAAGAUAGAAAUUCUUAAAGGGCCUGUAGCAAACUUCACAAAUAUCCUUUCUGUCUCUCUCCUUAGACACUCAUAAUCCUAUGAAAUGGGUAUUUUUUUUUCUACUUUACAGAUGAGGAAACUGAGGCUUAUUUACACAGGGAAUUAGUGGCCAAGUGGGUCCAGGAGUCCAUCUUCUUAAUCCUUCCAGGAUUUACUUUCAUUAGAAUUAGGACAGACUCACUGUGGAGUGGAGGCAGUGGUGAUAAAAAGGGCCUGGGGAGUUAAGACAGUAUUGGAAUCCUUACUUGAAGGAAGAUUGAUAACCGGAAUUCUUCAGGGGUGUUUCCCUUAUCCUUGGUUUAUCAUCUCUGCUGCCAGGUCAGCUGGUUGGGAAAUGUCACAGCUCCUAAAACAGAGGCUUCAGGGAGAUACUCUCUGAAGUGACUUGUCCUGUUCUGGAAGCGCCAAGAGCUGUUUGUUUGGGUUUUUUGUGUCCUAAGUGCGCUGCUGUUCUGCAUGUGGGGGAUGCUGCCCUCAGGUGGUGAGACAGAUGAACUACAGAUGCACAAACAUACCUGGGCCCUCACCUGCUACCCAUAGGCAUCUUAUCGUGGCAGAGGGCUAUCUAGUAGGAUUGUCACUCACUGUAUGGUGGCCUUGCCUUAGAGAUAUGCCCCAGGCACAGAUGGCGACUUUGUGCAUGAAGACAUUGGCUUCCAGCAGCAAAGCAUCUUCAUACUCUGCAAUGCUUCAUUCCCCAGACCCCAGACUUGUGGCUCUCCAGGGCCCCAGAAAUCACCAGGAACAGCCCUGACAUGAUGUUGGAGAGAGCACUGGUUCAAGAGACAUGCUAUCUGUUCUUAACUCAGUCAUUAACUUACCGUGAAACCAGGUAUUUACCCGAGGUAUCUUUUUUAAGCCUCAAACUAUCCUGUGAGAUAAGUAUUAUGCCCAUCUUGCAGACAAAGAAAUGGAAGAAUAGAGAAUUUACAUCAGCGGUUCUCAAACUUUUUGUUUCAUUUUCCCUUUACACUCUUAACAAUUAUGGACCUUUUGUUUAUGUGGGUUAUAGUUACCCAUAUUUACGGUAUUAGAAAUGAACAUUAAACUUUAAAAAUAGUUACUAAUUCAUAUAAAAAAUAAUAAACUUACUAUAAGUUAACGUAACAUUUAGAGAGAAGAAUGGCAUCGUUUUAUCUUUUUGUAAAUCUCUUUAACACUUGGCUUAUCAGAAGACACGUCUGGUGUGUACACUCAUGAGAAAAUGAGAGUGAGAAGGAAAAUAACAUCUUAAUGUUUUUAUGAAAAUAGUUUCAACCUUGUAGAUCCCCUGAGAGGGUCCUGGGGGACCCCCGGGAUUAAAUAAUUCGCCUGUGGACGCACAGCCGGUGGCAAGUGGCGGAGCCGGGAGGCCACGCCGGCUUGUCCGGCCUCACGGUACACACUCUCGCAGCUAUCCCACACUCACCGCCUGCUCACUCACCCUCUCCGGGCAUCAGGGGCCACCUCUGUAAAAUGAUAGUGGAGUCCUGGAUGGCCUAAGGCCCUUCUGGCGCUGACACUUCACGAUUCUGUCCGGAUGACUGCAGCUCUGGGCAGUUCCGACUCGCCGGCUGCCGCCCACUUAGGGAAUCGCGGCAGUCGCGCCUCAGUGAGCUGGAACGGUGCGAGCGUCUAAAGGAACAGCGAAAGACUAGGGGCGUCUCCGUCCGCUCUCACAUGCACUUGAGAAGACAGCUCUGUGAGUCCUACACUUUUCCGAGAAAAGAGGGUCUCACCCCACCCCCAGCUUGUGGCUUCACCCGUUUCAACCUCUGACACAGCCGCUCAGUGCUCAGGGCUGGGAGAACGGGAACGGGGUGAAGGUUUUCCAUCCUAUGGCUUGCUUUUAGACAAAGUUCUGAGGAUGGACUCCUCUGAAUUCCACGUCCCCUCCCUCCUCACGAAUACCCUUAAAAAACUAUUGAGCGGAGAAAGGUUUAUAGAAGGGCUUUUCAGGGAGAAGGCAUAGAAUGCUCAAAGUCACAGAAACAGGAAAGCACUGGGGGCUUUGAAAAGUUUUGUUGUUGAACUAACGUGUUAACUAGUCUUCUUGACUCAUUCUCUCCUUAUUCCCAUUCGUCGUAAACACUGACUGUGCCAGAUUGAUCUUCAGUGUUAAUUUUACUUGUCCCUCUCCUUUGUCAGAAACCUUCCUGGCUCCCUCUUGGUUGAAAUCAAACACUCUAGUCUGGCAUUCAAGGCUCUUUACCACUGGCUGGUCCUCUUUUCUAAACCUGAUUUCCAUUGUUCCCCUACAUGCAUCAUGUGGCUCUCUCACUGUCCCUUGUCAUGCCUCACGUGCUCCCUUCCACAGUUAAGUCCAGGCUGUCCCUUUCUCUGACACUUCACCUGCUUCAGGAAGUCCUCCCUGAUUGAUCUAGCCCAUAGGGCACCUCAGGCUUUGGAAUGCCUAGAGCAUUCCAUUAGUACCCCAGCCUUGGCCUUUCUCAGAAACCACCUGGGCUUGUUACUGUCCCAAGGAAAGCCCUCAGCCUUAUCUGGACCAGCAGCUUCCUGAGGGAGCAAGCAGCGUCUUAUUCCUCUUCACUGCCUCCUGCCUGUGGUUCCUGUAUCCCACUGGAUGCUUUAUGGUGGCUGGUUCUUGUUGACUUGCUCCCUGCAGAUUCAGGACCUGGAGCUGCAGACAGACCUCUCUGAAGAAGCUGGGGAGAAGCCAGAGGAGAAACAGAGGAAGACGCAGGGCACCCCAGGCACAAGAGAACAGCACAAAUUCAUGCUAGUGACAUUUCAGAGCCAAGACUGCUCAUAGAGAAAGAAGAGCUGCCUCAAAGCAGGGGAUGUGAUGUCUUAUUCCAGGACAACUGUGGGAGGCAGCCUGGGAGGGGAAAGAUAAUCCAGCUCUACUGUGAAACUUUAGGCAGAUACUCACCCUCUCUGUUUGAGCCUCACCUUCCCUUCUGUAGGAGGGAUAAUGUCCUUCUUAUAGGAUAGUUAAGCAGAAUGAGAUACUAUAAAGACCCAGCAUGUAAUUGAUGCUCAAUAGUACAUACUUUAAAAAUUAUAAAAUUUCCAGCUCAGGAGACCUUCUGGAUAAGAAUUCCCCAUUAUUGUCGAUGACUUGAUUAUUGCCCUUUAGAGACGAACUAUCCAGCUCUCAGAAUAUAAGGGAGAGGGGAUCCCUCUGCCUUGUUGCAGGGACCAGGUUUGCUGAUGUUUGCUGCCAUCAUGUGGCCAUAAGCUUACAGUGCAGUCUGGCUGGUUUGUCAGUAAGUUCCCAGUAAGGAUAAAACUGAGGAGAUUUGGGGUGUGUGAGGAGUUUGAAGAGUAAGGAGAUCCUGGAGGACAGAAUACAAUGGAAGGAGGGUGUCUUAGAGUCCCUGGGAAGUACGGAACAUCCCAGCCCAGGAGUCUUAUAAUACAUGCACCCAGCUGUUAAAGCAAUGUCCAAUGGGAAGGACCCUUGGAGGACAUCCCCCACCCCCCUCCGCGGCCUGUCUCCUGUCUCCCAUUAGUGUUGCCCACCAGAGUUUUGUGACAUCCAGUCCCACCUAUGUCUCCAGCUUCCUAGUGCUCCAUUCUCAAGCUCUUUCUGUGCUCCAGAACCCUGUCUUUCUAUCCCAUUAAGACAGCAAACUCCUGCAUUACAGGCCUCUGCACAUGCUGAUCUCUCUGUCUAGAAUGUCGUGCCCUUCUGCCCCACUCCACCUGUUUAAUUUUCACCUGUUCCUCAUCUCUCAGUCCAAGCAUGACUUCCUCAGGUAAGCCUUCUCCAGACUAGGUCAGUUUCCUUUGAUAGAUGCUCUCAUAAAGCCAAAAUCUUUUUCAGAGCAGUUUUCUCAGUUUAUAAUUAAGCAUUCAUCUAUGUGAUUGGUUCAUUAACAUCUCUCUCUCACUAUGCUGUACAGGCUUUAGGGGAGAGAAGGUGGGACCCCUUUCUCUUGUAUCCCUGGCACCCAGGACAGAGUCCGAUACAUGUCAAGAGCUCACUAAAGUUUGUUGGAUGAAUAGGGGCAUUUGCAGGGUAGGAGAGAAAGAUCUGGAGAGUGUUGGGAGUGCUGAGGAUCUGUCUGCCAACUCUGAGGCAUGCACAGGCCUUUUGUGGAACUCCUCAUCAACAAAGAGAUGUGUGGAAACCAGGCUCACUCAUGUCAAUUCACCAUUCCCCACUCCACCCCACCCCUACUUCCCAAGCAGGCGUGCUGGACUGAGAAGGGGCAUGGGUAGCCAGCUCAAGGGGAAUGCCAGCCAGCCUCUGAUAGAGGGGGCCCAUGCUGCCAGGGGGAAGGGAUUAUGUCUUCCUUGACUGUGAGAUUCUCAGUGCCACUGCCAGCCACCCAUGAUCUGUCUCUGCUGAAGCUGGUCAACCACAGAGGUGAUCACCCCACUAUGACCAGGCACUCAAGGAGACAGGUGGGAACCCUCCCUGACUGGAGUGGGGUCCCCUUGGGUCUGGUAGCAAUACUAACCUCUCCUCAGCACCACGUGACCAAGCUCCUUAAUGUUUAUGAGUUAAAGCAGAAGUGAAAGAGUGAUGCAUGGGUUUGAGACACAGAUUACACGGCCCAGCUACCAGGGGGAUUUAUUCUUAGAGAGGGCUGAACACAGUCUCUGAUUCUAAGAUUUGGGAAAAGCUUUUUCUUUUUUUUUUAGAGAUUUUAUUUUUUCCUUUUCCUCCCCAAAGCCCCCUGGUACAUAGUUGUGUAUUUCAGUUGUGGGUCCUUUUAGUUGUGGCAUGUGGGGUGCCGCCUCAGCAUGGCCUGAUGAGCGGUGCCAUGUCCACGCCCAGGAUCUGAACCGGCGAAACCCUGGGCCACUGCAGCGGAGCGCGGGAACUUAACCACUUGGACAUGGGGCCGGCCCCUGGGAAAAGCUUUAGAGGGAAGGACUGUUGGCUUGAGACUCCAGAGUCAAGUGCAUGUGAGGAGGGAGUCAAGGGGAUACCUGAUAGGAUGCUCCUAGGAGGAAGGGUUAACAAUGGUGUUGCACAUAGAGGUUUUUCUCCUAGAAAAGUAUUCAUCCCUUCCAAGCAGAUGGUCAAAUGUUCUUGAGGAUAAGUCAAGCCUAAUUGGAUGUGAGUAUGAAUUUUAAAAACACUGCCUCUUUAAUUUGGAUUUCAUUUGAAAAGGGAGUUAAUUUUUUCCAAACUCAGAAAAGAUUUAAAAAAUGAAAUAAAAUUAUCAUUUUAGAAUGUGAUAUUUUAAAAAUUUGCCAACCCACAAAGUUGAGGAUGGAGAAGAAGAAAAAAAAGUACAUGGUGCUUCAAAUCAUUAUUUGGGAAGAAAUACUGUUUAUUCCCAGAAUUACGUGAAGAGGAGAGAGAACUUUACCUGGAAUUCAAAGUAGUGAGCUGUUCCAUUUCAAAGAUCUUCUCAAACUGAUCUUCCAGUAUAGCUUCAUUGUAGAGUUUGAGAUGUUGUGAGCGCCCAAUAAUUUCAAUAUCCCUAAGUCAACACAUGCUCAAUUUAAAAAGGAAAAUUUGGGCUUUGUAAUCAAUUUUUAAUUCUCCAUGUGUUUGUUAAUGCAGAAAUCAAGAGCCGUUUAUAAUUUUAGUCUAGAAAAUCUACAGAAGACAUUCAAACUCAGGAGCCUGGACAAGGCAAAGAACGGCAGGAUGAGAGUGAGUUAUCAUGGAGGUGGUAGAGGAGGAAAAUGACGCCUGGGGGGAGCAUCUGGCGUUGGGAGAAUUGGGUGGUUAGAGCAGCUGUUCCUUCUCAGGCUCUAAGCUCUAAAACAGCUCCAAGAUGGCCCUGCCUUUUGGACCUCCAGGUCUUCACCUCAAUAGAGUCUCCACUAAGAAUCAUAGAUCUUCAUGCCUGCAAUGUUGCCUCCUUUCUUGGGUCUGGCUGUCUAUUCUUGUUGCCUUGUCUUUGAUUACUUUCCAGGCCAGGAUGAGUAGAGCCACCAGAGUUAUUAGGAGUGCAAAGAAGAAGAGAACUUUUACUAGGUAAGCAGGAUCAGAUAUGGCAGUGCACCCUUGUCCCAUAAGAAGGCUGGAAGUUGUGGGGAAGACACAGGUUCUCAGGGACUUGAGAUACGUGGUAUAAGCAGACUGCCCAUACAACCAAGAAAACUCUAAGAGAAUUGGGCUUGCUCUUUGUUAUAUCUUAGGAUGGGUGCGGGGCUGUGGCCACUUAUCUGUUGAUCCUGUUGAUCAUGUGGGGCCAUUUUCUUUCGGAUGUGACUGAGCAGGCAGAGAAGUUUGCUCAGCAAGGUUGAACAACUGCUCAUAAUGUCAUCACAGUUCUGAGGUGAUAGUUCAACUGGCAAAACUUCUGGGUGGUGGGUGGGGCUUCUGAGGCUUUGUGAUGUCACCUGAAGGUGAGGCUAGGGUCUGAAUGGAAGGUUCUAGUCCAGAAAACUCUACCCUCUGAGCAUCACCUCCCUUCAUGUCUGGCCUCCAGAUUGAAAAGAGAAUUUCCCAAUUGCCUGUGAAGAUGCCCUGUCAAUCCUUUUUUAUCUUUCUUACUUUUCAUUUUGAAAUAAUUUUAGGUAUAUAAGAAGUUGCAAAGACAAUACAGAGAGGUCCCAUGUACCCUUCACCCAGUGUCCCCCAAUGGCUAAUCCUGUGUAACUGUAGUACAAAAUCAAAACCAGUGAAUGGACAUUGGAACAAAUCUGUGCAUAUAGUUCUAUGGCAUUUUAUCAUACAUGUAGAUUCUUGUAACUAUCACCAAAAUCAAGAUAUAGAACAAUUCCGUCACCAUGAAGAUCUCCUAGUGUUCACUUUCUACCAGUUGGAGACAGAUAUAGAGAACUUACCUCCCAUUAUGUCUCUUUACACUCUUCCAUUUAUAAUAUAAUUUUAUUAAAUAUUUCCUCUAUAUACAUUGAAAUUCACAUUUAAACAAUGUUAUGCUUUUUUUUUUUGGCUGAGGAAGAUUAGCCCUGAGCUAACAUCUGUUGCCAAUCCUCCUUUUUUGCUUGAGGAAGGUUAGCCCUGAGGUAACAUCUGUGCCAAUCUUCCUCCACUUUAUAUGUGGGUCACUGCCACAGCAUGGCUGAUGACUGAUAUAGGUUGGGGCCCAGGAUCCAAACCCAUGAACCUGGGCUGCCAAAGCAGACCAUAUCAAAUUUAACCACUAUGCCACAGGGCCAGCCGCAAGACAAUGUAUGCUUUUUGCUUCAACUGUCAAAUAUAAUUUAGGAAACACAAGAUGAGAAGAAAAGUCUAUUGUACUUACCCAAUUUAUUGUUGUCCAGCUUAGGUCAUGUAUAUUGUUCUGACUUCAAGUUCACUGAUUCUUUUGUCCACUUCAUUUUGCUAUUGAAUCCAUCCAUUUAGUGUUCUCUUUUUUGUGUGUGAGAAAGACUGGCCCUGAGCUAACAUUUGUACCAGUUGUUGUCUAUUUUGUAUGUGGUACACUGCCACAGUGUGGCUUGAUGAGUAGUGUAUAGGUCUGUGCCCAGCAUCCAAACCUGUGAACCCCAGACAGCCAAAGCAGGGCAUGCAAACUUAACCACUACACCACCAGGCCAGCCCCUAUCCACUGAAUUUUUUAUUUUGGUAAUUUUGUUUUUCAGUUCUAAAAUUCCCAAUUUGGUUCUUUUUGUAUAUCUUCAAUUUCUUCACCAAGAUUUUCUUUUCUUUAGUUGUUUCAAGUGUAUUCAUAAUUGUUUGUUGAAGCAUUUUUGAUUCUUCAAAAUCUUUGUCAGAUAAUUCCAAUAUCUGUAUCAUCUUGGUGGUGGCAUCUGCUGAUUAUCUUUUAGUUGAGAUUUUCCUGGUUCUCAAUAUGAUGUACGAUUUUGAUUGCAUGCCAGACAUUUUGGGUGUUAUGAGAUUCUGGACCUUAUUUAAAUCUUCUGUUUUAGCUAGAUUCUUCUGAAUAGUCCCAAUUGUAGGUGGGGGACGUUGCCUCACUAAUGCCAGGCAGGGGUGAAGGUCCAGGUUCUCCACUCAGCCUUGUCAACCCAGGGUGGGGCAGGGGAGGUAACUCCUCAUUGCUGGCUGGUUGGGGAAUUUCAGACUCCCCAGGGAGGCUCCUCUGACACUCUGUCAGGGAGGGGGAAGGGCACCUUUUUACCUUUAGGUGGGGAGCUCCUUACCUCUGGGCAGGGAUGAAAGUCCUUGCUCCCUACUCUGUCUUUUCUGAUACUACACUGGCAAGGGGUGAGGAAUGGGGAAGAGUACCUCAUUACAGCUGGGCAAGGGUGGAAACCUAGGGUUCCUGCUUGGUCUUUGCUUAUGGGGUGGCGGUGGGGCCAUGAUUUUUUCCAUGGUGUUUGGCUGGAGUAGGGCAGUUACUGCCUAAAAGUUAUCUUUCUUGAUGGAUUGCUUUUCCUACUCCUUUGGCUAGAGACAGCAAACAGGCUUUUCUUGAGACUUUAUUUUGUCUGUGCCCAUUGGCAUUUCCAGGUUGCUUCUCCAGCACCCAGUCCAGGAUAGAUGAGGCAAGAAGAAAACCCAGGGAACUGUCAUGCUGACCUUUGGGUUCCAAGGUCCCUAGUCAGUCUGCCUUCUUCUUCUCAACUUUCAGAGUCUUCUUAUGUUGGUUUUAUAUAAAAUGUCCACGGUUUUUAACUGUGCUUAGCAGGAGGAACAGGGAGAACUGAAUUUACUCCAAGUGCAUCUACUCCAUUGUGGUCUGGAACCUCUGGAUGCCAUAUCAAGAUUCAGGCAGGUGACAACAGAAUGGGAGCCACAGGAUUUGCAGUCCAAGGACUCAGAAAGAAGAGAAGGUAAUUUUGAGAGAAGCAAACACACGGAGGAGAAGGAGCUGUGAAGACAGAGCAGAGAGAGAUGCAGCCACAAGCCAAGGAACAACCACAGCCACCAAAAGCUGGAAAAGGCAAGGAAUGGAUUCUCCCCUGCAGCGUCUGAAGCAAGCAAGGUAUUGACGAUACCUUGAUUUUGGACUUCUGGCUUCCAGAACUGUGAGAGAAUAAAUUUCUGUUGUUUUAAACCACCAAGUUUGUGAUAAUCAUCUAGUCCAACUCCUUUAUCUAACAGAUGAGGAAACUGAGGUCUGAAAAAGGAAAGUGACCAAGUCACACAGUUAUUGGCUCAGUGAGUAAAAGGACUGGGAUUCUGGUCUCCCUCUCCUAGUUCGCUGAAACGUCUUUUUCAAACAUCUUUAUUGAGAUAUAAUUCACAUACCAUACAAUUCUCCCAUUCAAAGUCUACAGUUCCAUCUUUUUCUAUAUCUUCACAGGGUUGUUUGAACAUCAUCACAAUCUAAUUUGAGAAUGUUUUCAUCCCCUCUCAGAAGAAACCCUGUACUCCUUAGCGUUCUUGUGUCUUUUAUGGUUCCUUACUUCAGGCAUAUUGAUCUCAUAUCCCCAACCAGACUGGGCUCCUCAGUGCCUUGUCUUCUGUACUCUUCUCUCAUUCCCCAUUCUGCUGCUUCACUCGGGGCUGAGGUUUGAGUGGUUACCCCUAACUCGCAUUAGAUGGGGUACUGAGGAGUCUCUGCUGGGGCUCUGGAGCUGAUAGUUUCCUUUAUGCUCCCAGUUAGGUUGCUGACCUGUAGGAAAUGGCCCAACAACUCAUCAUUCCCUGAACUGACUGUCGAAGAUAUCCAGAUUGAACUGUCCUUUUAUUUCUGGAAAGGGAGGGCCUAGAAACUGAGACACGCUGAAGUGCCAGGCAGCUUGAGCUCCCUUAAGUAUCUCCAGGGAAACUCCACUGACUCACCCACCACACUACCGAGGAAAAGUUUACCGCUGGCUGCGGCCAGCAUCUCUGCAUGACCUGGACGGUGGUGUCUGGAAGCCAAAGGAGAAUUAGAAUAUGAUAUUGGGGAACAGUUUCUCCACAUUCCUGAGGUUUUCUUUCUUGGGGCAGAAACCCUAUUACUAACAUUCCUGGCCUCUCUCCACUCUGGUUUUCACUCCCUUCCCACUGCGCCCCCUAGGUGCAGAGAACAUCCACUUGGGUCUGCUCCUUUCUGUAAGUUUUACAGGGGUACGCUCCCAUGAGCAAGAGGCCUAUGGUUUUCCAUUGAUAAUUAUGAUGGGGUGGUGAGUCAGUCUAAUUCUGAACUUCCCUGUUAGGAGUCCAUUGUGGUUGCACGCCUAAGCUAUAUCUUCCAAUACGGUCUUUAUAAAGGUCACUUUUGCCAUCUGCUUCAUUUCUCUAUCUCCACUGGUUCAGAAUUUGGGUAAGGAAAAGAGACUUGUUACAUAUUCAGGUGAAGAAAAGGGAGGUGUUAAUAUAUUGACCAUUUAAAUCCCAAACACACGAGUCCUCCAUAAACUCUGGAGGUUCUGAGUUGUGAUGGUUAAUUUUAUGUAUCGACUUGACUGGGCUAAGGAAUGCCCAGAGAGCUGGUAAAGGUUAUUUAUGAGUAUGCCUGUGAGAAUGUUUCCAGAAGAGACCAGCAUUUGAAUCAGUAGACUGAAUAAAGAAGAUUGUCCUCACCAAUGCAGGUGGGCUCAUCCACUCUGUUGAUGGUCUGAAUAGAACAAAAAGGUGGAGGAAGGGUGAAUUUGCUCUCUGCUUGAGUUGGAACACCCAUCUUCCCCUGGCUUUGGACAUCAGUGCUUCAGGUUCUCAGGCCUUUGGACUCAGACUGAAUUACACCCCCGGCUUUCCUGGGUCUCCACCUUGCAUACGGCAGAUCAUGAGAUUUUUUUGUCCUCCAUUAUCACAUGAGCCAAUUCCUAUAAUGUACACACACACACACACCCCUAUUGGUUCUGUUUCUCUGGAGAGACCUGACUACUAUGUGAGUCUUAUCUAGAUGAUGGUAACAGAGUCUGAAGAGCUUCCCAGCUUUCGGUGUCUCUCACUCCUUGUUUAUGGAGAGCAUUUAGUUUAAAUUUCUAAUAUAGAAGAGAGGACAUUAUAGUUUACUAAGCCUCUGUUAAGACACUCUCCUUGGUGCUUUGACAUGUUCUUUUAUUUAAAAGGAGAACUCUGAGAGACAGUAAUAGCAAUAAUUUAUUGCGUUCUUUCUUUCUUUAACACCAGCUCCUGGGCUAAGUGCUCCACAUGCAUCAGCUGGCUUAAUCCUCUGAGGCAACUGAGGCUCAAAGAGAUUGAAUAAUUUGCUCAAGGUUAUGCAAAAAUUUGUUCUAGCACCAGACAUUUAACUUCAGGUGUUUUUUAAAUUCCAACCCAGUGCUCUUUUU